rnacentral:lncRNA from 1 species
AAAACCUGGCCCUUCCAACACCUGGAAAUCUCUAGAAGCCAGCUUGGCUUAUUUUCUCCAGUACAAACCUUCAACUGGAAGACUACACAGAUGAUCCUUCCCACUGUGUUAGAAAGAAAAAACACCAGCUCUGCCUCAUAUUUCUCAAAUGAUUUUUACAUGUGCAAACCAUGACCUGUUUCCACGCUUGUAGAUGUUAGGGGGGAGAAAGGGAAGCUUAAAGGAGACCAGGGAGACUAGUGUGUAUUUUCUUCUAAAGAAACUUUUAAAAGUGCAGAGAAACUGGCCUGGGACAAGGUCUAGGAUCUAGAUCUUAUACUAACAGGGAUGAUGCAUGUGAACAGUGCCCAGAACAAUUCCUGGCCCAUCGUAAUUGGUGUUCAAUUAAGCAAACUAGACUUGCCUAAGGUGUUAUGAUAAUAAUGACACAACAACAAACAAUGAAUCCUUUUUUUGAGCAUCUUCCCUGUGUUAAGUAUUUUAGGUAGGUAAUCUUUUAUCUCUACAACAUUACGGUAAAUCACUGGUUUUCUCCCCUUUCACAACUGGCAAAAUUAGGAUCUGAAAGCUUGCAGCUGGGAGAGGGAAGACUCAAGAUUAGCAUUCAGGGCUGACACCAAAGUUCAUCUUCCUGCCUGUAUACUCUAUACUGUUUCUAGAAUCCCCUUAACUCUCAAACUCUAUGACUCGGAGCAACUUGGACCUUUUUCACCUGCAGUAAACAGAAAGCUUUUCCUUCACUUAAAAUAAUGUAAAUAGUGAUAAAUGCUAGGAAUACAACCGAAGCCAAUUGUGGGGGUACUGGGUUAGAGAUGCUGUUCAAACCUCAUCCCAUUCAGACCCUCUGACUAUUGAUAGGAGAGGGAAAGUGGAAGAGAGAGGUUUUGCCUGAUCUUUGAGGCAUACACCUGUGUGGAGAGAGGGGGCAGAAAUGCCUGGUUUUCUGUUAAGAGGAAACAGAGGAAAGGGAACCUCUGCCACUCCAGUGCAGCCUGACAUUCCUGAGAUGCCUCAAGACACAGCUAAACAAAUGGUGGUUGGAGAAAAAGAUGUAUAUGUGGGAUUGAAAGAAGAUAGGCAAGAACGAGAACGAGAACAGUCUUACAUGCCAAUCACGGGACGUGGACUUCCUCCUGACACAGUGGGACGAAAACAGUAUAGAGUGUGUUAGUUAGUACUCACUCACUUACUUAGUUCAGCCUAAUUCAGGUUCAUACAAAUUCCCCCUUUCCCUGUCUUUAGUGGUCAAAGAGAGUGUUCAUCUAUCUGAAGAAAUAUAAAAUUAUUAAAAUCACUUUUUCAGAUCCAAGGACCUCUUUGAACUGUCUAAAGUCAUCCUGCAUGCAAAUGUGCAUUUGCCUGGGUAGAUUAUCUAAAGCCUUCGUUGGAUUUCUCAAGUGAUCUAAAGCUCUAAAAAGUAUAAGAAUCACU